rnacentral:lncRNA from 1 species
CCCACACAGACUGACUAAUGGUGGCGACUACGUGGAGAGACACUGUUCUGCAGCUCCUUACUGUGCUUGUUGUGCCAGCUGCCGUUUGCAUGGAAAUAAAUAGGCAUUACUUUUGAGCAACCCACGUAGCUCUCGAAACGCAAAAAGCAAACAGCAGUCAAUGCUGGGACGUUUCAGCUUUUUUUGACCUCGCUUUCAGACCCAGCAGCUCUGUUCUCAGCUCUCCAGGCUUGGGAGGUACUUCAGGUAUACUGAGGUCAGGCCGGUAGUACCGGUGCACCACCUCGGCUCCUGCGAACAUGGCCAGCAUGCUGGCAGCCAGCGUCUUCAGGUAAGUGGACCAGGGCACGCCGGCGGGCAUGGCGGCCUACCA